GUUUUACUGUGAAGCUCCAGAAAUGUUUCUGGACUCUGAGACUUCACCUGACUUUAUAUCAUCAGGAGGAGGAGACGAGGACUGGAGUGACUUUUAUGGGGGAACUAAUGUCGUCUCCUUUAUUGUAAACUGUUUAAAUUGACAGACUGUGUUACUGACAUCCAGUAAACACAAAGUCCAGUCCUGCCUGUUUACAGUCGCUGCAGAUGAUCAAGGAGUGGCUCCUCCUUCAGACGGCACACUUGCAUAUUUGAGCUGCCUGCUUUCUGUUCACAGCGUCACAGGUGAAGGCGUGCGGUGGAGGAACAGCUGAGCUGUGAGACGAUUUGAUCUGUCCAGUCAUGUCCUCCACCAUCCUGCUGAUCGUCCUUCUGUCUGCACACAUUACAGGUCUGAUCUCAGAGCAGCUUCUCAAAGCCACUGUUGGAGGAUCCGUCCUGUUCCCCUGUUCUCUCCCAGGAUAUCCACUCAGUCUCAACUGGUUUUACUGGCAAGAGGGCGACAAUCUUUUUUUUCGAUGGGAGAAUGGGAAGGAAAUAGAAAUAAAAGACAACAAAUACAAGGGCAGGUUCCAAGUCUUCACUCAUGAGUUUAGUUCUGGAAAUAUCUCCAUCAGACUUGACAACAUUUCUGUUGAGGAUGAUAAGAACACAUUCUUUACCUACGUUAAUUUAUAUGAUGAGCAGAAAAAAGUCACCAAACAGUCUCAAAAACAAUGCAUAUUCACGCUGCAGGUUUCAGCUCCCUACCAGGAUCUGGUCCUGACAGUUAACCACACAACCAACAGUGCAACCUGCUCAGCACGAGGAGGAUACCCUGCAGCUCAGGUAUCAUGGAAGGGUCUGAACAGAUCCAGUGAUGAACAAAUGGACCUGCAGGAUGCUGAGACGUUCCUGCAGCAGGCUCCAACAGAGAAAACCUUCUCCUUCACAAGCUCUGUCAACGUUACAGGGUUAAAGUCUGUAACCUGCAUCGUCUACAACCCUCACUCCAACAAGACCAUUAACAAAACUAUGGAGUUGGUGGAGAUCAACACUGCUGAUCCUCCUGGUGUGUGGAUCACAACGCCAACCUUCUCUACUCCUUCCCAGGAUGAAAACGGGAGGCAUCAUUUUCUAAUAAUUGCAGCUGUUGUCCUCUUCAUCAUCCUCAUCCUCAUCCUUGCUGGUUUCUGUCGGUGGUACAAAAGUCAAUGUCCAGUUCCAGGACCAGUUCUAGAACUGAACCCAGAACCAGACGUCCCUAAUCUCCAAGAUGCAGUUCAAGAAGAAGCUCCAGAUUUAAAUCCAGAUGCAGCUCGAGAACCAGUCGAUCCUAAUCCCCAAGACCCAGUUCAAGAAGAAGCUCCAGCUCCAGAUCAAGCUCCAGGUCCAGAUCAAGAUCAGGAUCCAGAUCAAGCUCCAGGUCCAGAUCAAGAUCAGGAUCCAGAUCAAGCUCCAGGUCCAGAUCAAGAUCAAGAUCAAGAUCAAGAUCAAGAUCAAGAUCCAGAUCAAGCUCCAGGUCCAGAUCAAGAUCAGGAUCCAGAUCAAGCUCCAGGUCCAGAUCAAGAUCAAGAUCAAGCUCCAGGUCCAGAUCAAGAUCAAGCUCAAGGUCCAGAUCAAGAUCAGGAUCCAGAUCAAGCUCCAGGUCCAGAUCAAGAUCAAGCUCCAGGUCCAGAUCAAGAUCAGGAUCCAGAUCAAGCUCCAGGUCCAGACCAAGAUCAGGAUCAGGAUCCAGAUCAAGCUCCAGGUCCAGAUCAAGAUCAGGAUCAGGAUCCAGAUCAAGCUCCAGCCAACCAACCACCAGCCGAACAUGAUCCCCAAGAUGGAGCUGAAGCUGAAGAUGCAGACGCAGCAGAACCUGCCCCAGACCCAGUUCAGGAGGAAGCAGCUGAUCCAUCUGAGGACACUGUUCUACUAUCUAAGGAUCGAGCUGUGUUUCACUGUCAGACAAAGACGAGUGAAGGUACUGCAGACUGCGACACCUGUGAGGACGCUGCUGCUUCACCAGAGAAAGAAAAACUGCUGGAAAAAGAAAAUGGAAAUGAAGACAGCGCCUCUGAUUGA
rnacentral:lncRNA from 1 species